AAAGGGAUAAAUAAAUGACAGCCUUUGGAGUGGCGUCCCCUCGAAGAUGCUUAGCUUCCAGGGAGUAAACUGCACAUUGAAUUUAACAGGCUGCUUUUGGCAUGUAAAAGCAAAAGGGACAGCCUGAUCAUGCCACUUUUUCGACGUCAGAGUGAAAAAUGUCGUAAACGGCAGCAACGACAGGAAGUGCUGGCACAACAAGACCCAGAACCAAACUUUGAUCUGUCAGAAUGUGAAUUACAGGAGGUUCCUUCUGGCGUUUAUGCAAUCUGCAAGGUGCUCCAAAAAGAGGCUCUUUUUCUACACUGCAACUGGCUCAGCUCACUAAAUGGAGGUGGAAUUCUUUCAGACCUCUUCUUGUUAAGGAUAUUAAAUUUGGAAAAUAACAAGCUGAAGAAACUGCCUGAAAAUAUUGGGAAGCUUUCCAAUCUGCAAAAUCUUAAUGUGAAAGGCAACCACUCGAGAGAGUUACCCAGUGGAAUAUGUAAUCUGCCUGUACUGAGGCUUCUGGAUGUCUCUAAGAAUGAAAUAACAAGGCUUAAUCAACGCCUGGCUUAUGUUCGAACUCUUGAGACACUGCUACUAGAUGAGGACAAGAUGCAGUACCCUGCCAAAGAGAAUGAAUUGAACUACCAGCCUCCUUCAUUUUCUGCUCUGGAAGUCUUACCACCUCCAAGGGGUAUCAGAAGCUCACAGAGUGAAAAUUGCAUCAAAGCUUUGCCAGAUGAGGCCCACAUCAUGGAAAGUCUGCAGCAAUAUCAAAACUUCAUGAAACAGAAGCGAGUGGAAUCAUGUGUCUUAGAGCAACAACUGGCAAACGAGAAUCGUCUUCAUAGAGAGUUGGCAGCUGCAAACAAACAAAGUCUUGUGGAUGCAAUUUCUCAGGUGGCAUGUGAGCUGUCAGAUGAAAGAUGAUUAUGAUUGAUGAAAGAUGGUGAUUGGAGGGGAAAAAGAAGUGACUGUCUCACAGAUCAAGUACGUAUGGACAAAGAGUUGAACCAGUUGUCCCAGAAGAAAGAGGAGGAGCGUAAAAGAUUUUUUAGCGUUCUUAACAACGUUGAAAAGCAGGCAGAAGAUCUAACUGUCUUAACUGGCAGAUGUCAGUG
rnacentral:misc_RNA from 1 species